UCCCUCUCUUUUUCUCUCUCUCAUCUGAUGUUCCGAUUUGCCCAGUCGAGUCGUUUGGUUUGCCGCCAGUAUGGCUCGGAAUGCCCUGAACCGCCUGGUUCAGGAUGGUUAGGCGAAUGCUGAAGUGGCUUAUGUUGCAAUAUAUCGCUUUAUGUUCUAGCCAUCGUUCUUCAUAUAUAUUAUAACUUUUAUUUACUUUUUGUUAAGUUUGGGUAUACUCAAUGAGCCAUGGAGUGUAUCUGUGGGGGCAUUUUAAAGACUACUUUCUAGAUCAUAGCAGCCCAUAUUUGGUGUUCCCUCGUACAUGUAAUGACAGGCUCUAGUUGAUCUGCCCUCUCUUAACUAUUCCUAGUGUUUUUAACAAGAUUUUGAAACUACUGGUCAAUGCUAGAUUAUAUUCUGAAUAGCUUAAGCAGUUAAUAACCUACCAUUUAUGAAUAUGAUAUUUCUGUAGGUCUUUUCUAAGAACCCACACACACACAUACACAUACAUACAUAUAUAUAUGUAUGUGUACACACACACACACACAUAGACACACACGCACACAUAGAUAGGUAGAUAUAU
rnacentral:lncRNA from 1 species